rnacentral:rRNA from 1 species
GAGGGGAAGCACAGUACGGUCUCGGGCACUUAUUCUCACCCUUUGUUUACCACACUUAGUUGCCAUGGCGCCUAGCGCCAGUGGAUCAAAACCCUUGAAUCAUUGCUGUCUGAGUACUAUAUAAUAGUUAAAACUUUCAACAAMGGAUCUCUUGGUUCUGGCAUCGAUGAAGAACGCAGCGAAAUGCGAUAAGUAAUGUGAAUUGCAGAAUUCAGUGAAUCAUCGAAUCUUUGAACGCACAUUGCGCCCUCUGGUAUUCCGGGGGGCAUGCCUGUUCGAGCGUCAUUACAACCCUCAAGCUCAGCAUGGUAUUGGGCUCGCCCUGUAGGGCUUGCCUAAAAAUCAGUGGCGGCCGCCGUCCGACCUUCAGCGCAGUAAUACUCGUAGCUGAAAGGGAAGGCUGGCGACCCCGUCAUUAUAACCCCCAAUUUUACAAGGUUGACCUCGGAUCAGGUAGGGAUACCCGCUGAACUUAAGCAUAUCAAUAAGCAGGAAUCAAAUCAUAAUMGAGUAAAACGGUCUUCGGCACUUAUUCUCMCCUUUGUUUACCACAMWUAGUUGCCUWGRCGACUGCGCAGUGGAUAAAACCUUGAAUCAKU